rnacentral:rRNA from 1 species
UCGUGUCGUGAGAUGUUGGGUUAAGUCCCGCAACGAGCGCAACCCUUGUUGGUAGUUGCCAUCAGGUCAUGCUGGGCACUCUAGAGGAACUGCCCCGGUCAACGGGGAGGAAGGCGGGGAUGACGUCAAGUCAUCAUGCCCCUUACGUCCUGGGCUACACACGUGCUACAAUGGCCGGUACAAAGGGAUGCCACACCGCGAGGUAGAGCUAAACCCAAAAAGCCGGUCUAAGUUCAGAUUGGAGUCUGCAACUCGACUCCAUGAAGGAGGAAUCGCUAGUAAUCGC